AUCAAAAUCUUAGACUUUGUUAAAUUUCGGUCGUAAAUCAACACUGUCAAAUAUUUUUCAUGUGUUUUCUAUAGGGCAAGUUGACACUGUAGGUGCGCAGAAGCUACUUAGUGAGAGAGCCAACACUUUGAGGUCAAUAGACAAGUUGAUAGUGUAUAUAAAACUUGGGAAUGAUGAGGUUUGUGCUGGUGUACAAAUUUCUGACGCUUGGAUACUCACUCUUGCUGACUGUGUCGAUACUAAAAUCAAGCUCGGAAAGUACAGUAUCAAAUACCAAGAUGGUUCAAAACAGGUCAUUGCUGAAGACAGGGACUCCGUUGGCGAAGAAUUUGUUCUUCUGCAGAUGAAGUCAACUAAAGAAGCCAAAACUAAGUUUGCAAAACUUUCUGACAAAAUGUUACCUUCAACCGACUACGAUUAUCAGCUCUACAUUACGGAUGAGUCCGAUAAACUAACUGCAAAUGAUGUUGUUUUUGUCAGAGGCAUUCAAUGUGUGAAAAAAGGCAUUGAAGGCAACUUUGGAGAGACACGCAAAUGUUUUCAAGUCA